rnacentral:rRNA from 1 species
AUUGAACGCUGGCGGCAGGCUUAACACAUGCAAGUCGAACGAGUGGCGGACGGGUGAGUAAUGUCUGGGAAACUGCCUGAUGGAGGGGGAUAACUACGGGAAACGGUAGCUAAUACCGCAUACCAUCAGAUGUGCCCAAGUGGGAUUAGCUAGUUGGUGGGGUAACGGCUCACCAAGGCGACGAUCCCUAGCUGGUCUGAGAGGAUGACAAGACACACUGGAACUGAGACACGGGCCAGACUCCUACGGGAGGCAGCAGUGGGGAAUAUUGCACAAUGGGCGCAAGCCUGAUGCAGCCAUGCCGCGUGUAGGAAGAAGGCCUUCGGGUUGUAAAGUACUUUCGGCGGGGAGGCGUUACCCGCAGAAGAAGCACCGGCUAACUCCGUGCCAGCAGCCGCGGUAAUUC